UGGAUCCAGACUUGAUUCUGGCUCAGGACGAACGCUGGCGGCGUGCCUAAUACAUGCAAGUAGAACGCUGAAGAGAGGAGCUUGCUCUUCUUGGAUGAGUUGCGAACGGGUGAGUAACGCGUAGGUAACCUGCCUUGUAGCGGGGGAUAACUAUUGGAAACGAUAGCUAAUACCGCAUAACAAUGGAUGACCCAUGUCAUUUAUUUGAAAGGGGCAAAUGCUCCACUACAAGAUGGACCUGCGUUGUAUUAGCUAGUAGGUGAGGUAACGGCUCACCUAGGCGACGAUACAUAGCCGACCUGAGAGGGUGAUCGGCCACACUGGGACUGAGACACGGCCCAGACUCCUACGGGAGGCAGCAGUAGGGAAUCUUCGGCAAUGGGGGCAACCCUGACCGAGCAACGCCGCGUGAGUGAAGAAGGUUUUCGGAUCGUAAAGCUCUGUUGUAAGUCAAGAACGAGUGUGAGAGUGGAAAGUUCACACUGUGACGGUAGCUUACCAGAAAGGGACGGCUAACUACGUGCCAGCAGCCGCGGUAAUACGUAGGUCCCGAGCGUUGUCCGGAUUUAUUGGGCGUAAAGCGAGCGCAGGCGGUUUGAUAAGUCUGAAGUUAAAGGCUGUGGCUCAACCAUAGUUCGCUUUGGAAACUGUCAAACUUGAGUGCAGAAGGGGAGAGUGGAAUUCCAUGUGUAGCGGUGAAAUGCGUAGAUAUAUGGAGGAACACCGGUGGCGAAAGCGGCUCUCUGGUCUGUAACUGACGCUGAGGCUCGAAAGCGUGGGGAGCGAACAGGAUUAGAUACCCUGGUAGUCCACGCCGUAAACGAUGAGUGCUAGGUGUUGGAUCCUUUCCGGGAUUCAGUGCCGCAGCUAACGCAUUAAGCACCCCGCCUGGGGAGUACGACCGCAAGGUUGCAACUCAAAUGAAUUGACGGA
rnacentral:rRNA from 1 species